AAUAGGUAGGACGUGUCG
rnacentral:snRNA from 1 species